rnacentral:rRNA from 1 species
UGCGUAGGGGGGCAAGCGUUGUCCGGAUUUAUUGGGCGUAAAGAGCGUGUAGGCGGCCAAACAGGUCCGUUGUGAAAACUCGAGGCUCAACCUCGAGACGUCGAUGGAAACCGUCUGGCUAGAGUCCGGAAGAGGAGAGUGGAAUUCCUGGUGUAGCGGUGAAAUGCGCAGAUAUCAGGAAGAACACCCGUGGCGAAGGCGGCUCUCUGGGACGGUACUGACGCUGAGACGCGAAAGCGUGGGGAGCGAACAGG